UGGAUAAAAGCCACUACCAAAGCGCUAUAGGAGAAAACCAAACCAUCAGCGCGUUCAAUCAAUCUUAGUGUUUUGAACCCGCCUCCAGAUUGUUUUCCUGAAUUGUGGCUGCGCAGAGACUCCGGGGUGGGAUGAGAACCAAGACUGCCCCACUGCCUCCCUACCCGACUGACAUUGGACACGGAACAAGAGACCUGACAGGGUCCAACAGAGAAACGGGGAUGGGCUCAGAGCCUCUUUCCAGACCCGCCAGUCUCUGGUGCAACAGAUGAUGUCCGGGAAGAGGCGGAGCCAGGUGUGACAGUUCUGAGGGCCAAAGACAGCCGUUGGGUUAAUCAAUUGUUCUUUGGAGCAGCUUGGACACCUUUAGAGGGUGGGCUCUAUAGGUGAAAGAACGGCAGGCGGACCGACCAGAAGUUCGUGCUCUGAUGGCCGGGGAUGUGCAGAACUAGAGGAUGCGGAGCCGAUUGACAGCAGGCCUGAGAGAGAGAUCGAGCACUCGCAGCCCAACAAAACAAUCAUCUGGUCUGCUGGAGUCAAGCAGCAGGUGCAGCUGGCCAUCUAACCUGCUGCUAGGUUUGCCAUCACCGUCCUUGGGUGACAAAACCAGAAAAAAGCAUGACACAGUGAGAGGAUGGCCAUCUGUGAACCAGGAAGUGGACCCUCACCAGAUGCAGAAAUCUGCUGGCACCUUGAUCUUCGACUUCCAGCCUCCAGACGUGUGAGAAAUAAACUUGUUGGUUAUAUGCUACCCUGUCUGUUGUAUUCCAUUAUAGCAGCCUGAAUAGACUACUGCUCAUAACACUUUACCAAACCAAUGUAAUGGUGAGUCCAAUCAAGUUGAACAACAAAUGCUGAAGUGAAAUGAACUGUUCCCCUUUGGAUGGUAUAUUUGUAUAUGGGGGGAACAGUAGGUAACAGAAUGUCUCUCCACUGGGACAGGGUUUGCUUUGGGGCCCAUGUAUUGCCCCCUAAAUUAUUGACAGUAUGCCAAACGUCAGCGCAUCAGUCUAAAUUCCUUUGUGUGGGUUGUAGCGUAUAGUAACCUGGCCUUAGUUUUACUACUUUGUAGCUGCCUAAAGAUACAAGGCCCCAAUCACUGAUUACCCCAGCCAUUUCUCAGGGUUGUGAUGACACCGAGCAACCCUGUGGGAUGAGGCAAUGUCUCCCUCUGGGGCAAAAAACAGGCUGGAUCACCCAUGGUCAGUGUUUCUUGGCUGUGAUGUAAACCUAUUGUGUGUGCAACAUCCACCAGGGACCCUCUGCAUCACUGCUGUGGGACUUGGAGGACAUGGGGAGCAGGUGCCCACGUGACGUGCAUGCUGCUUGCUGUCCUAGGAGCAGGAAAAUCCUUUGUCUCAGCCUCAGGAGUCUCAUGUUUUCUGUCAGCAUCUAUAAAACAUGUUAGCUUGUAAGAGGGUGAAGUCUCAGACCUUUCGCAGACCCUGACAAUCAACA